GGCCAGAGACAUUUACUAAUUAAGACUUAUACAAAUUAUAAUAGUUACAAGGAGGGGUAACUAGAUUUUUAACGCAUGAUUAUUUGAAUCACUGCGCCGUAUGAAAAUGCAUGCAUAAACAUUUGUCUUAAUCUCUUAACUAUGACCAUUUGUGUUUAGAAGCGUUGUUUUCAGACGACAGUUGGAAAGAUUACGCACCUAAU
rnacentral:lncRNA from 1 species